GCCCCUGUAGCUCAGCGGCAGAGCGGGAGGCUAUGCCUCCAGGUCGCGGGUUCGACUCCAGCCGGGGGCA
rnacentral:tRNA from 2 species